rnacentral:tRNA from 2 species
GCCAUACAGCGAAUCCUGGAGAGCAGGGGAGGCCGACUUAAAAUCCGCCAAGUGUCGGUUCGAGUCCGACUGGGGGCA